ACUUAUGAGAAAGGCCUUUCAGUCAUCUUGGAUUUUGUAUGUAAACAAUCUGCAAUAUUUUGCAAUAUCUUUUUUUUUGCUCUUUGUGUGUGGUAUUGUUUUGGUGGGAAUAAGAGCAUUGGAAAGUUGAAAGCUCAAGAGAAAAAAUCGACUUUCGGAGUCGGUCGGUGAUGGAGGAAUUUUUCCCGCGUUUUGCAGUUAGAGACGUCGGUUAAUUAUUCGAUUGUAAGGUUUCUGGAAUUUCAAGUUUUCCUAUAUUUAAUAUUCUUUGUUACUGUGUUCUUGGUUAACAUAAACUUAAUGCCUGUUUUUGAUGGGGCAUAAAAAGAUGAUAUAAAAGGAUUUCUAGGAACUUCCUGCGACUUGUUUUAUCGUCGAUAUUGUUCAGCUCAUAUAUUAUAGAAAAAAACCCGAAGAUGUAACUGUAAAAUUAACCAUAA